CGGACCGGCGCACGGGUGCGUAACGCGUAUGCAGCCUACCCUUUAACCUAGGGGGAGGUAACAACUGAGAAAUUAGGUACUAAUACCCCAUAAUAUCAUAGAAGGCAUCUUUUAUUGGUUGAAAAUUCCGAUGGUUAGAGAUGGGCAUGCGUUGUAUUAGCUAGUUGGUGGGGUAACGGCUCACCAAGGCGACGAUACAUAGGGGGACUGAGAGGUUAACCCCCCACACUGGUACUGAGACACGGACCAG
rnacentral:rRNA from 1 species